rnacentral:rRNA from 1 species
GGGCGGGGGGUGCUAUACAUGCAAGUCGAGCGAACUGACGAGGAGCUUGCUCCUUUGACGUUAGCGGCGGACGGGUGAGUAACACGUGGGUAACCUACCUAUAAGACUGGAAUAACUCCGGGAAACCGGGGCUAAUGCCGGAUAACAUAUCGAACCGCAUGGUUCGAUAGUGAAAGACGGUCUUGCUGUCACUUAUAGAUGGACCCGCGCCGUAUUAGCUAGUUGGUGAGGUAACGGCUCACCAAGGCAACGAUACGUAGCCGACCUGAGAGGGUGAUCGGCCACACUGGAACUGAGACACGGUCCAGACUCCUACGGGAGGCAGCAGUAGGGAAUCUUCCGCAAUGGGCGAAAGCCUGACGGAGCAACGCCGCGUGAGUGAUGAAGGUCUUCGGAUCGUAAAGCUCUGUUGUUAGGGAAGAACAAAUGUGUAAGUAACUGUGCACAUCUUGACGGUACCUAACCAGAAAGCCACGGCUAACUACGUGCCAGCAGCCGCGGUAAUACGUAGGUGGCAAGCGUUAUCCGGAAUUAUUGGGCGUAAAGCGCGCGUAGGCGGUUUUUUAAGUCUGAUGUGAAAGCCCACGGCUCAACCGUGGAGGGUCAUUGGAAACUGGAAAACUUGAGUGCAGAAGAGGAAAGUGGAAUUCCAUGUGUAGCGGUGAAAUGCGCAGAGAUAUGGAGGAACACCAGUGGCGAAGGCGGCUUUCUGGUCUGUAACUGACGCUGAUGUGCGAAAGCGUGGGGAUCAAACAGGAUUAGAUACCCUGGUAGUCCACGCCGUAAACGAUGAGUGCUAAGUGGUUAGGGGGUUUCCGCCCCUUAGUGCUGCAGCUAACGCAUUAAGCACUCCGCCUGGGGGAGUACGGUCGCAAGACUGAAACUCAAAGGAAUUGACGGGACCCGCACAGCGGGGGAACAUGUGGUUAAUUCGAAGCACGCGAAGACCUUACCAAUCUUGAAUCUUUGCCCUCCCAAAA